rnacentral:lncRNA from 1 species
CUACAAGUCUCCUCCUCCACCAGUGCAUGUCUAUCCAUCACCACCCCACCACCCUGUAUAUAAGUCUCCACCACCACCCAAGAAGCCAUACUACCCUCCACACACUCCAGUUUACAAGUCGCCACCACCACCAACUUCGAUUUACAAAUCACCACCACCACCCAAGAAGCCAUACUACCCUCCACACACUCCCGUUUACAAGUCACCAUCACCACCCAAGAAGCCAUACUAUCCCCCACACACCCCGGUUUACAAGUCGCCACCACCACCAACUCCCGUUUACAAGUCACCACCACCACACAAGAAGCCAUACUAUCCCCCACACACUCCAGUUUAUAAGUCGCCACCACCACUCAAGAAGCCAUAUUAUCCCCCACACACUCCCGUUUACAAGUCACCACCACCACCAACUCCCGUUUACAAGUCACCACCACCACCCAAGAAGCCAUACUAUCCCCCACACACCCCGGUUUACAAGUCGCCACCACCACCAACUCCCGUUUACAAGUCACCACCACCACCCAAGAAGCCAUACUAUCCUCCACACACCCC